UAUUCCUAAUUUCAUGGUGACUCACCUGCUGUUCGCUGAUGACCUCUCUCUCAUGUCCAAUGACCAUACCAACGUGCAGACCAUGCUCAACAAAUUGAGAGCCUACGCUCGAAGGAAGUCGCUGACUGUCAACACACUUUUAUCUGAGGUGAUGUGCUUCAAUUCCAGGUCUGACAACUUGCCCCCACUUUACUUUGAU
rnacentral:lncRNA from 1 species